UCCAUCGCGAGGUGGAAUCUGAAGGAAGCCAGAGGCAAAAUCCUGGUCCGAGGUACACGAACCACAUUUGAGGCUGUAUAAAUCGGGUGAGUUUGCAAAACAAAACAAAGCCCAAAACGCGGUCCGAAGGUUUAUACAGUAAAUGUGGCGGAUAUAUGGGAGGAAAGUGGUUACG
rnacentral:ncRNA from 1 species